rnacentral:rRNA from 1 species
CCAAUGCCUCCAUCGAAACUAGCGUUCCGAUCUCUACGGCUCCUACCUAUCCUGUACAAGCGGUACCUGAAGAAUAAGCUCCGGCUAACUACGUGCCAGCAGCCGCGCUAAUACGUAGGGAGCAAGCGUUAUCCGGAUUUACUGGGUGUAAAGGGCGUGUAGGCGGGCUUGUAAGUUGGAAGUGAAAUCUCGGGGCUUAACCCCGAAACUGCUUUCAAAACUGCGAGUCUUGAGUGAUGGAGAGGCAGGCGGAAUUCCCAGUGUAGCGGUGAAAUGCGUAGAUAUUGGGAGGAACACCAGUGGCGAAGGCGGCCUGCUGGACAUUAACUGGUCGACGCGGCCG